CGGGGGAGCAAGCGUUGUUCGGAUUUACUGGGCGUAAAGGGCGUGUAGGCGGCCACCGCAAGUCAGUUGUGAAAGCUCUGGGCUUAACCCAGAAAGGUCAACUGAUACUGCGGGGCUAGAGUGCAGAAGGGGCAACUGGAAUUCUCGGGUGUAGCGGUGAAAUGCGUAGAUAUCGAGAGGAACACCUGCGGCGAAGGCGGGUUGCUGGGCUGACACUGACGCUGAAACGCGAAAGCUAGGGGAGCGAACGGGAUUAGAUACCCCGGUAGUCCUAGCCUUAAACGAUGAAUGCUUGGUGUCUGGGGUUUUAUAGUCCCCGGGUGCCGUCGCUAACGCUUUAAGCAUUCCGCCUGGGGAGUACGGUCGCAAGACUG
rnacentral:rRNA from 1 species